rnacentral:rRNA from 1 species
UACGGGGGGGGCAAGCGUUGUUCGGAAUUACUGGGCGUAAAGGGCCAGUAGGCGGCCAACUAAGUCCGACGUGAAAUCCCAAGGCUUAACCUUGGAACUGCGUCGGAUACUGGAUGGCUUGAAUUCGGGAGAGGGAUGCAGAAUUCCAGGUGUAGCGGUGAAAUGCGUAGAUAUCAGGAAGAACACCCGUGGCGAAGGCGGUUCUCUGGGACGGUACUGACGCUGAGACGCGAAAGCGUGGGGAGCGAGCAGG